CUCGAUCUUGGACGAUUUUGCACCUACAAAACAAUUAACACCUUAGGUUAAGGCCAAGAGCCUCACGCGCCCACGAUGAAUGGGGGGGGCUUUGGCCGAAGAACCUCCGAUGCCAAAGUUAGAAUUUAGAGAGAAAGAGUGUUUAGAGAAUUUUGGGAUUUUUGCCAAAGUGUUGGAAUUAGCUUUUUGGUGAGAAUGGGAGUAUAUUUAUAGGGAUAGGAGGUGGCUAGGGUUUUUAGGUUUAAUUAGCCAAUUUAUUUGGCUAUUAAACAUAAAAUGAAUGUUUUGGUGGUUUUUUGUAUAAUUGGCUAAUAAAAAGGAAGAAAUGGUGGGAAAAGGUAGAAAAAAAGGUAAUGGAUUAGGUUUUUCAAUGGGAUAGCCGGCCCUCUUGUGUUUUUAGGUUUGAGUGGAUAUUUCAAAUUGACAAUUAAGGGAUUGAUUAGGUAAUUAAUCCCUUAAUUAGUCAAUUAUUAUGAUUUUAUGAAAUAUGAAAGGAAUAAGUAUAUUAUUUAGCUAAUUGAUUAGCUAAAUAAUGAAAUGGGAAAUAUAUGAAUAAAUUAGGUUUUAAGUUGAUACCUAUUUUGGGCACUUUUGACUUGGUUGAAAAAAUGAUUCUCUACUGCUCGCGUGUAGGAAACCCGGUAUGCCUCGAGGGUAUUUUUGUCCUCUUUUGUCCAAAAGUCCACGUGUCGCCUAGUGAAUAUUUUUGGCUCCACAAAUGCCCCCACACCUGUUGGGCUGCUCGCAAAAAAGGGCAGCAGGUGUAGAGAUCUUCUUGCUUUAGGAAACUUAAGACUGCUUCCUAUUUUGAUGUUGAUUCUCUCUUUAAUAGGAAAUUAGAUCCUUCUAGGAAAGGGAAAUAAAUUUCUCUCAAAGCCUAUUUAAGUCCACCUUAAGUGGGUUAUUAAAUCAACUUUGGAGAGCGAUUUAUUCUACCCUACAAGAGAGAGAUAGCUUAGAGGAUAUUUGUUCCCCCUCCUCUAGCAAUCUUCUACAUCUUGCCCGUGCAAAGGACCGUCUUUCGUUGCUUUCUUCGUCUUCUUCGUGCCGCACCGAUAUAAGAAAAAUUUAAUUUUUCUUGCCUUAUUCUUGGAUAGUGCUAUUGCGGGGCAGCCGUCGGGGUGGUGCGGCACAUCGGCUGGCAGGGGCCAGGAGUUGGCUCGGCAUGGGCCGAGGAGAUGUUGUGGCAGGGACCACUGCUUGGGCAGCUUGGCUUGGCUUGAGCCAAAAGGCAGCUUGUGCAACUAGGGUCGCGGAUUGUGGCGCUGGGGCGUAGUGCUAGGCGAGCCGCAUGGCUCAUGUCCUUUGGGCUCUUGGACCUGACUCGGGCCAGGCUGGUGAUUGAGAGAAAUAAGGAGAUUGCGGGUCUCAUGGGCUGCUGGAAUGUUGGGCAUGCAGGCCUCCUGCCUGUUGGAAUGCUGGGUUGAGCUCCCCUGCUGAGUACCAUGAAUGUCGUUGGCUGCUUAGUCCUCUUUGCCGAAAGAAAUGUGGGCUGCUCCAGAAAGAGGAGGUAAAGAAGAUCAAGGCGGAUGCAUUGGCUCGUCUGAUCGCUGUUGUGGAGCUUACUAUGAAUGAAGAUGGAAAGAAGAGAUCUUCCCCGCCUGCUCAUGAGAUGCCAGUUAAGAAAAAACUGAAGACUUCUUCUGCUGCUCAUGAGGGUCCGCUUGCUACCGAGAGGUAUGUGAUUGACAUGAUUUUCCAAUGGGAAGAAAUGUAAGGCUGCUAGAUCUGAGCAUGUGGCGUCUUCCAUGUUGAGAAUGGCUAGUACAAUUGUGGAUAAGUACUCAGCGUAAAGGUUUUAUCAUGCCCCCAGUGCCGAAGUCUGUACCAGGACGUUCUUUGGGAGCCAAGUCCGGUUCACAUUUAGAGACUUUCUAUUAUGAAGAGUGGUAAGGUGGACUCUGCUGCUAAAAUGGCGCCAAAGCCUGCUCCCUUUGCUGCUGAGAUUGAUUUGCCUCAGAUUCAAGAUCUUAAGCUUGCAAUUUCUGAGCUUCGUUUCGCUACUUAUGCUAAGAAGAGAGUGGAUAAGCUGCAGCGCGUCCGUGUUAGUCUGCUUAAGAAGAAUAAGCAACUGAAGGGUGAGAAGGAUGUGCUUGAGGUUUUAAGAGCCUUCUCUAUUUCUCCGGAAGACUUGCUUGCUUUUACUUUUAAGGCUUCCAUUGGUGAAGUAGUUGGAGAAGUUAGUGCCCAGACUGGGGCAGCCAGGGGUGAAGCGUCGGAUGAUGCCGCUGCUAAGAGCGUUACGGCUGUUGAAGGUGUGGCGACCAAGUAGUCGUAGGAUGUCCAAGCUGCUGUAGUGUAGUAUUUUAGGUAGCCUUUAGGAUUUUCUUUGUUUUUCCUUGUAGCUUUUGUUUUGCUUGAACUCAUUCGGCCUUUGCUAGUUGUUUAUAAACAUGUUUUCCUUCGUUUUUCUUCAUCUUCACUUCUUUUGUUCAUGCCCUAACCUUUAGACUUGAUAGACCAGUGGCAGGCAUGCUACUUUUUUAUAAGCAGACAAACUCGCGUAGCUUAUGCAACCGUAGGUGUUGGUGUAGAACUUUGCAAAGUUGUUAGCCAUAGGGUUGGCAGCCGGAUGCCUUACUUACAGAAGCAGACAAGUCCGCGUAACCACUAGGCUGUUAACCUUGACUUUCUUCAAUUCCGUAGGUUGCGUAGCAAGUAUCACAACACUUUAGGACUUGGUGUAGGUUGUUCCGCGCUUGGCAGAGGUGAAGCUUAUCGACUACGUAGCAUGUCGGCAGUGGAUAAAACUUCGUAUAUGCGCGCUAGCUUGUUUAACCUUUCACAAGAAUGUGCGGUUGUAUAAGUCUAGUGCGGCUUCACUGCUCGAAGGGCAAGCCGUAGGCAGUCUUCUGGAAUCCGUAGGCUACCUUAGUGCACUCGGUAGCAGCUUUAGGAUUCCAGGGCAGCCGUCCAUUGGAUGUACUGCGUAAUGUGCCCUCUCCGUCUCUAGGGCCCGGUUCCCCACGGAUUAGGCCAAGAGACCCAAAAUCCUUCAGUUAGCUAAGCCUUGAAAAAGACCAUUGCGGCUAUUUCUAGGAAUCCCGGCGCAAGCCAUCGUGCAUCUAGUUAUACUAGGGCAGCCAGGCUCAUCCACGUCUGGAUAUUCGAAGUGUAAAGUUUAUCCUCCCGUCUUGAAGAGCUGACCCAUAUGGGUGUCGGAGAAUUGGUUUACCCUCUCGCACUGGAGAGCAUGGUUGGUCCCUCGGGGGGCGCAAUUCCUGCGAUGAGUCCCUAAGAAGGGCGCAGUCUUCUUUUGAAGUGCAGGAGUGAUUAGUUGUUGUAAGCAUGCAGCCAAGCCAAGUUGUGAUUACUUCUAAAUUCCUCAUUGAAAAACGAGUGAAACGAACGAGAACUUUAGCUAUAAAGUAGGAACUGCAUAACAACUGGAUAGUCCUCAGCUUGUGAGGUGGUGCCCGUUGAGCUUAUUGAGUCUUCGGGUUUUGAUGUAGCGGGAGGUCACACAUGGUACUUCUUCAGAUUGUAGGCCAUCCAUUUCUUUUCAAUCUUUUUGCCGCUUCAUGGUGGUGAGGGUGUAAUUACUCUUGCCCCCUACUCUGCUGAUCUUGUACGGACCUUCCCAGAUGGGAUCCAUCUUUUUGGAGCCUUCUCUGCCGGCAGUGAUGAAGGCUUUUCUGCGUCGUCGACAUGCAAAUGCCAGAAGUCUCCAUCGGGUGGAGUAGGCGCAGCUAGAGUGUGCUCGGCUACUUUUGAGGCAUCGUUGGGCCGCUCUGUUGCGUCACCUAGGCUCAGCGUGAAGACGCAGUAGGGAGCUGUGGAGAUGGGGCCAUGUCAUACGCAACAGGAGAUGCUCAACUGCCGGUAUUGGGCCACUCUAGAGUUGAAUCAUUGAGCAAGGGUCGGCUAGGGCCGUGUGAUGCGCAACAAGAAAUGGUACUCAACUGACGGUACAUGUUGCUCCUAUGUAGAAUCUUUUAGGGUGACGUGGACAAAACUUGCUUUCGAGUGUGUCCUUCCAGUGUUGCGUUCGUCAGAAAACUUUACAUCCGCCAUGGUCUACGCCUUUAUCGUCGCGCGUCUGGAUUGGGCAGAAUAGUACGUCAUUAGGAUGAUUGCAUGCGUUUGAAAGUAAAACAUGUGCUUCUGGGUUGCAACAACUAUCGCCAAAGUUAGCUUUUGAAUUUUUAAUAACAUCGAUGAGAGCUUUUGAACUGUAGAAUACAGGUAACUGUGGAAUACAGGUAGUCGGGCCCCCAUCUCUUCUCGCAUGAUGGUAGAGCUUAUUGCUACUUUAGAUAACGUCAAACAUGUGAAUAAGUCAUCCGCUGCUUCUAGGGAGGUGAUGUCGGGUACUUCUUCAAGUCCUUGAAUGUGCAUUGGCGAGCCUCAUCCCAAAGUGCAUACUUCUCUGCCAAAGCAAAAGAGUCUGCCAGAGUUAGAUUUUCUUUCAUGAUCAAUUUUCCGAAUAGCGGGUGGUCUGCUGGAAGUCCUUUUUGGAAGGCUGCUCUAGCUAUCGAGUCGUUGCAUCCGACUAUUUUUGCCUUCUCUACUUUGAACCUCCUCACAUAGUCGCGAAGUGACUCCUUUGGGUUCUUCUUGACGUUGAACAAAUGAUCAGAUUUCUUUUUGAUUGAGCGAUAAGAUGAAUAUUCUUUGGUGAAAACCAAAGAAAGUUCGUAGAAAUUCCGGAUGGAUUGUGGCGGCAGGGUGUAGAACCAAUCUUGCGCCUCGCCUUGUAGAGUGGUGGCGAAUAUCUUGCACAUAAGCUCAUCGUUGUUUCGAUAAAGGAUCAUUGCGCUUCGGUAGCGCUUUAAGUGUCUCUCCGGGUCUUCAUCCCCUUUGAAAUAUGUGAAAUGUGGCAUGCUGAACUCUCGUGGAGGCUCUGCCUGCUCGAUCUCGUCCGUGAAGGGUGACCUGCUUAUGUUGGUCAUGUUCCGUCGUAAUGCCUCGUCGGUGACCUCGUUGCGUUGGAAAUCAUGCAAUCGCUUGGUCAAGAGUCUCUCUACUUCUUCCUGAAUUUGCCUUUGUUGGGGUAGCGGAGCUCUCGGCUGCCCCCAGCCAUGACUUGCUGGUCUAAGCUGCUCUUCCAUGUGUUUGGCUCGUCUACGCCGCAGAUGCAGUGCAUGUGGUGCGUUUCUAGCAGGCGAGCGAGUUCUUCGCAGGCUGCUGGUUGAACUUGAGCUGGAUUGAGUGACUGCUUCUCUCCGUCCGUCGUGCUGCCUACUCUGAUGUGAGGUGGAUGAUGCUCCUUGUGGGCUUAGCCGCGAAUGAACACUUUGUCCGGAAGGUUGCUCAUGUUGACUAUCGGAGUGUGACCCCAACCAUGAAUGUAUGCUCAUCUGUGGGCCUAGUCGAGAGUACACGCUCCUCCACGCGCUAAGACGGGAGUAUAUGCUAUCUCGGGGGCCCAAUCGGGAAUGUACACUGCCUGAACGUUCGGCUCGUGGCUGGUCGAAUGGCUACUUACCGGGACGCUGCUGGAAAGGUUCGUCUGCCCUUGUCCUACUUCGGGAUACCUCGUCCGGGGCACGUUGGAUCCCGAUGCGUUGCAAAAGUUGAUUCACCAAAGUUGUCUGUUGUGUAAGGGCGCUCGUCAACUCUAUGACUUGUCGAGACAAGUGUUGUUUGCCAUUUGGAUUGGAAGAGCUUGGAAUGAAUGCGCCUCCUUGGGCAGUGGAAAGGUGGUAGACUCCGGGCGCGAGAUUUGAGUUGGGAAAUGUCAAAUCCGCGAAAAAAUGUGGUGAGAAUGCCCCCGGCUCGAUGGUAGGUCCGGAUGGUUGAGAUAGUCUUGGGCCGACUUGGGCUGCUUGGAAAGCCACGGGAGCAGGCUGGGCCGUGAGAGUGGGCUGCUCAAAAGAAGCAGGCUGGACCACGGGAGUGGGUUGCUCGUCGGGAGCAGGCUGGGUCACGAGAGCAGGCUGCUUGGCAGGAGCAGGCUGGGCCACGGGAGUGGGCUGCUUGGCAGGAGCAGGUUGCUUGGCGGGAGCAAGCUGGGCCACGGAAGUAGGCUGCUUGGCAGGAGCAGGCUGGGCCACGGGAGUGGGCUGCUUGGCAGGAGCAGGCUGGGCCACGGGAGUGGGUUGCUCGACGGGAGCAGGCUGGAUCACAGGAGCAGGCUGCUCAAUGCGCGGUGCAUGUGAAUGCGAGGCUUGGGCUUUGGUCCACGUGAACUUGGAUGGCACGGCUUGGAUCGUGGUCUUGGUACCGUGAGCCUUGGAUGGCACGGCUCGGGCCGUGGUGAAGGCUCCAUGGACCUCGCCACGAGUGGCUACCGAAGUAGCCAUCGUGGUGGUUCCCAUGGUGGCCGUUGUGAAGGCAUCAUGGACCUCGCCGUGGGUGGCUACCGAGGUAGCCACCACGGUGGUUCCCAUGGUGGAAGCUCGUGGUGAUGAUGCCGCUCCCCUUAUUGUCGCAUUUUGCCUUACGGAUCUCCGGGUCGUGGUGAAGGCUCUAUGGACCUCGCCACGAGUGGCUACCGAAGUAGCCACCGCGGUGGUUCCCAUGGUGGCCGUGGUGAAGGCACCAUGGACCUCGCCGCGGGUAGCUACCGAAGUAGCCACCACGGUGGUUCCCAUGGUGGAAGCUCGUGAUGAUGAUGCCGCUCCCCUUAUUGUCGCAUUUAGCCUCAUGGAUCUCCGCAAUCCCAUUUCUUGAACAUUAGAAUUUUCACUUGUGGAAUUUUCUAAAUUUCUAGCCAUUAUAUUUUGCUUAUACGUUUUAUCAAAGAACCUUUGCAAGUAAAAAAUUCUAAUAAUAAGAACGUAUGAAAAAUAUUCAAAUGGACUAGAAAAUAAAGAAAAAACCUUUUUUGUGCGAGAGUCUUCUACGAGUAUGGAUUUCAACUCUCAAUGAAAGCACCAAUUUGUGGAUGCAAAUUUCUUCCUCCUCGAUCUUGGACGAUUUUGCACCUACAAAACAAUUAACACCUUAGGUUAAGGCCAAGAGCCUCACGCGCCCACGAUGAAUGGGGGGGGCUUUGGCCGAAGAACCUCCGAUGCCAAAGUUAGAAUUUAGAGAGAAAGAGUGUUUAGAGAAUUUUGGGAUUUUUGCCAAAAUGUGUUGGAAUUAGCUUUUUGGUGAGAAUGGGAGUAUAUUUAUAGGGAUAGGAGGUGGCUAGGGUUUUUAGGUUUAAUUAGCCAAUUUAUUUGGCUAUUAAACAUAAAAAUGAAUGUUUUGGUGGUUUUUUGUAUAAUUGGCUAAUAAAAAGGAAGAAAUGGUGGGAAAAGGUAGAAAAAAAAAGGUAAUGGAUUAGGUUUUUC
rnacentral:lncRNA from 1 species